AUAGCGUAUAUUAAAGUUGUUGUGGUUAAAAAGCUCGUAGUUGGAUCUCAGUUCGAGUCAGGCGGUCCACUUGCCAGUGGCUACUGCCUGACUGAACACUUUACCGAGUUGUCCUAUGGUGUUCUUCACCGAGCGUCAUAGGCGAUCGGUACGUUUACUUUGAAAAAAUUAGAGUGCUCAAAGCAGGCGUAACGCCCGAAUAAUGUUGCAUGGAAUAAUGGAAUAGGACCUCGGUUCUAUUUUGUUGGUCUUCGGAAUCAGAGGUAAUGAUCAAUAGGGACAGACGGGGACAUUCGUAUUGCGGCGCUAGAGGUGAAAUUCUUGGACCGUCGCAAGACGAACUAAAG
rnacentral:rRNA from 1 species